GAACCCGUGGUGCAGUGGCAUAGCAUGUCACAUCUGGAUGUGAAGACGAAUGGUUCGAUUCCCUUCCGGUCCA
rnacentral:tRNA from 1 species